GCUUCUCGGAGAGAACAUACUGUUCCCGCCCAGGCCUGCGGCUUGGGCAAGAGUGUGGGACGCCCUGUUCCCUGAUAAGAUGAGGCAACUGCUCUCGGCCGCCUCGCAGGGUGCCAGGGAACAUUUAUGUAACCCCCGCCCUGCGUGCCCCCCGCCCGCCCCCAUGACCCGCUACCUGCGUGCGCCCGCCCCCAACUAUCCACCUCCCGCCACCGUAUACCCCCAGGCCCGGCCCUCCAGCUCCUCUCCACACUGCGCCCCCAACGACCAGCACCAGCAGGUCCUCGACCUGCCCCCACCGUUAUCCACACCCGUCAGUCCUGGCUCCUUGGGGCCUAGCACCCACUGGCGGGUACCCACCCUCCAGCCCCUGGGUCCCCAGCGCCCCCCCACAGUGACCCUGGCCCUCCCUCCUCCCUAUGCAUCCAGCCCCCUUCCUCCUUCCCUCACUAGGCCCUGUCGCCAUCCUGUCCCACUGCGCCCUCCGCCCACACACGUGCCGCCCUCCUGGCUUCUGAAGGGGGGGGGCGGGCAGAGCGACCUGAAGUGCGCCCAUCCCAGGCUUAGGCUCCAGGGAGGCUGCAGGAGGCCUGGGCUCCCUUCAGGGGUCUGGGGUCUGGGUCGGGUCUCCCUUCCAGAGGGCCAGGGUCCCUUGUGCGCUGGGCCUCGCGCCCUCCGGUGGCAGCCCCGCGGUACCGCUGCUGUCUCCCGGUCACAUCCCAGGAGGAGGCAGGUGCGGAACCUGAGCCUGGCCGGGAAGAGGCUCGGCUUUGUUUGGUGCACGGGUGCACGCCCCGCCGGUCCCGGACCUGCUGGCCCCUGCCCCGCUCUGGGUGCAACCGCCCCUUCCCUAGCUCAGCUCAGCCACGUGCCACCUGGGGUCAGUCCCUGAGCUGCAGUGGCGGUUUUCAAAGUGAGGCCCAGAGACACCUGCAAGUACUCCAGACCCUUCCAGGGGGCGAUAAGGGGAGCGCCCCUUCGCCUGCAGCUGGCAGGACUGCAACAAGAAGUUCGCGCGCUCUGACGAGCUGGCGCGGCACUACCGCACGCACACGG